rnacentral:rRNA from 1 species
GACGAACGCUGGCGGCGCGCUUAACACAUGCCAGUCGAACGGAAAGGCCUGCUUUCCCUUGUGGAUUGCGGGUACUCGAGUGGCGAACGGGUGAGUAACACGUGAGUGAUCUGCCCCCAACUUGGGUAUAAGCCUGGGAAACUGGGUCUAAUUCCCGAUAGGACUGCAGGGUGGUGCCUGUGGUGGAAAACGAUUUUCUAGUGGUUGGGGAUGAGCUCGCGGCCUAUCAGCUUGUUGGUGGGGUAAUGGCCUACCAAGGCGGCGACGGGUAGCCGGCCUGAGAGGGUGGACGGGCACAUUGGGACUGAGAUACGGCCCAGACUCCUACGGGAGGCAGCAGUGGGGAAUAUUGCACAAUGGGCGGAAGCCUGAUGCAGCGACGCCGCGUGGGGGAUGACGGCCUUCGGGUUGUAAACUCCUUUCGACCGCGAGGAAGCCACCUGGUUGGAAGGGUGGUGACGGUAGUGGUAGAAGAAGCACCGGCUAACUACGUG